rnacentral:rRNA from 1 species
GUCCACGCCCUAACGAUGUCAACUGGUUGUUGGGUCUCUUCUGACUCAGUAACGAAGCUAACGCGUGAAGUUGACCGCCUGGGAGUACGGCCGCAAGGUUGAACUCAAAGGAAUUGACGGGACCCGCACAAGCGGUGGAUGAUGUGGUUUAAUUAGAUGCAACGCGAAACCUUACCCACCUUUGACAUGUACGGAAGUUGCCAGAGAUGGCUUCGUGCUCGAAAGAGAGCCGUAACACAGGUGCUGCAUGGCUGUCGU